rnacentral:tRNA from 2 species
GCCGCCUUAGCUCAGUUGGUAGAGCAGCUGAUUUGUAAUCAGCAGGUCAUUGGUUCGAAUCCGAUAGGCGGCU